rnacentral:tRNA from 1 species
GGCCGUGUGACCGAGUGGUUAGGUUGAGGUCUGCAAAACCUUCUACAGCAGUUCGAAUCUGCUCACGGCCUCUA